ACAGCAUUGUUUUUCUGGAAGAAGUGCCCCAGGUGCUAAGAAGAAUGAAGAGGUAGAUGAAUACAGGGGGAUUGCACAUUUGAAUGGAGUUUUGGAGUAAAUAUGAUGAAGAAUAAAGUAAGCUCUCACAAGCAAUCAUGGACUAGCGAAAGACACAAUGAGGUGAUGCAGAUCUGAGG